ACCUGGCUGGCUCGGUUGGUAGAGCGUGUGACUCUUGAUCUCAGGGUUAUGAGUUCGAGUCCCACCUUGGGUG
rnacentral:tRNA from 1 species